rnacentral:rRNA from 1 species
AUUGAACGCUGGCGGCGUGCCUAACACAUGCAAGUCGAGCGGCAGCGCGGGAGCAAUCCUGGCGGCGAGCGGCGGACGGGUGAGUAACGCUUGGGAAUCUGCCUGUUAGUGGGGGACAACCCGGGGAAACGUCGGGCUAAUACCGCAUACGCACUACGGUGGAAAGCCGGGGACCGCAAGGCCUGGCGCUAACAGAUGAGCCCAAGUCGGAUUAGCUAGUUGGUAGGGUAACGGCCUACCAAGGCGACGAUCCGUAACUGGUCUGAGAGGACGACCAGUCACACCGGAACUGAGACACGGUCCGGACUCCUACGGGAGGCAGCAGUGGGGAAUAUUGGACAAUGGGGGAAACCCUGAUCCAGCGACGCCGCGUGGGUGAAGAAGGCCUGCGGGUUGUAAAGCCCUUUCAGUGGGGAAGAAAAGCUCGACCUAACACGUCGGGGUCUUGACGUAACCCCAUAGAAGAAGCACCGGCUAACUCUGUGCCAGCCGCCGCAGUAAU